CUCAGGGCCAACGUACAAAACUCAUUUUCCAUUUCACAUUAACACUGAAACACAUGUAGACCAUGAAAUUAUUAUCCUAUUUAUAUUAGGGCAAACUGUAGAUUUUGCACACUUUAUUACGUUACACCUGUGUUACGUCCUCCAAUUACAUGUGUCACGUGACUAUUUUGGUCCAAUCAUGAUCGAGUGAUCACGCCAGUGGCGGAGAUGAACGCUUUUUUCAGUGUCAGACGCCCCGGUAAUGUCCAUCCAAACUGACACCAAAGAAGAAGAAAAACAACUGCAUUGAUACGGAUGGACUGAAAAGCUUUACAGCCGGGAUGCUAUCCGCUCACAGUCAGUGGGAGAGGAGCGGCUGGAAGACGUUCAGCAUGCGGUAGUUUGAGCGCCACAACCCCGUAGGACCCCGUGAGCAGCGUUCAUUGGACUGAAAGAGGCGCCAUCUUUGAACACGACAUCCAGAACAUGUUGACAGAGUCAGAGUCACAGACGGCAGCUGGACCACCCAAUGUCCUGCAGACUAUGUACUGUGGUGCUGGGACAUAAAAAGGCACGAUCCAGGAACAGAUGACAUGAGGCCGAGCAGCCAGUGUCUUGGAGGGUGGACGUGGAGGAACAGGAGGAGGGUGCUCUAACACGCUUCAUCGAAGAGGUAGCGAGUCCUGCUCAUGGAUAUGCUGGCCUCCCUCUGGAGUGUGAGAAGGGAGCAACUAGAGACAAUCAGUUUCCAGGGGCGACGGCGCCGCAAGGUAUCCUGGACUGUUUGCGGGGAAGGAUCCGGAAUCAGGCUGUUUGCUUUGUAAGGCCA